AUUGAACGCUGGCGGCAUGCUUUACACAUGCAAGUCGAACGGCAGCGGGGAGGAGCUUGCUUCUCUGCCGGCGAGUGGCGAACAGGUGAGUAAUACAUCGGAACGUGUCGAGAAGAGGGGGAUAACCACCCGAAAGGGUGGCUAAUACCGCAUAAAUUCUGAGGAAGAAAGCUGGGGACCUAGGAAUAGGCCUAGCGCUUUUUGAGCGGCCGAUGUCGGAUUAGCUAGUUGGUGAGGUAAAGGCUCACCAAGGCGAAGAUCUGUAGCGGGUCUGAGAGGAUGAUCCGCCACACUGGGACUGAGACACGGCCCAGACUCCUACGGGAGGCAGCAGUGGGGAAUUUUGGACAAUGGGGGCAACCCUGAUCCAGCCAUGCCGCGUGUAUGAAGAAGGCCUUAGGGUUGUAAAGUACUUUUGUUAGGGAAGAAAAGUCAGCUGUGAAUAAUGGCUGAUACUGACGGUACCUAAAGAAUAAGCACCGGCUAACUACGUG
rnacentral:rRNA from 1 species